CACAGGCGCAGAAUAUUCACCAGCUAAGAAAUACUAUAUAUUAAGACACUUCAAGAUCUUCCUACAAAGAUAAAAAAAUAAUAGAUAUAAUAUAAAGAACUACAAUCAACAAAGAAGAACCAAGAAACACAGCUCCAGGGAAUAUAGACUUAAAAAGACUAAAACCCUAUAAAAGAAGAAGAAGAAUAGUCGUACUGCAGGGAAAAAAAAAACUCUUUGGAGCGUGUUCAAGAUUGGGCUUUCGUUGGAUAUAACAGACCUCUUUGAAAGAGGCUUCUCACAAUAACCCUCCAGGGAAGUGCAUCAGAGUUUCAGCCCAUACCACCAUAACAGAGGUUCAUCAUCAUCAAUCAGUAACUGUGAGCUCUUCACUAACAGCACUCCAGACAAGCGCCCAUAAUGAACAUUUUGAAGAUGAGAGGUUUACCAGCACUGAACCGCAAGAUUUUGAAAGUGGGAUCCCAAAGCCAUCCACAACAAAUAAACAGCAUUUUUCAUCUCAUAUCAAAGACAUCAUUUGGUUCUGAUAUCAAGAGCCAAGGGUUUCACAGCAUCAGAUCAUGUGGACUUUAUGUUAAUUGUAAGAACCAGUCAGUUGCAGGUAACAGAUGGCAAGGCUCUUAUGUAAAUCAGCAAACAAGGUCCUUCUUUUCUUACUUUCGUAAAAAAAAAACCUUAGAGGACCAGCAAAAGGCAGAUAAUGUAGAUACACACUAUGAUCUAGUCUAUAGUGGUAAUUCACAGUGGUAUAUUCAUUUAGCAUUAAGUUCAGUGCAUCUGUCCGGUGCUGCAGUUGGUGUGUGUUUUACAGGAGAUAAACUGGGAAUUCCAACUUUGAAUUUGAUUGAUGAAAUUAUAGCAGCUCCCCUAGAAGCUGGCUGUUUCAUUACUUUUUCAACAGUCAUAUGUUUAGCUAUUGUUCAACUUUCAAAGCAAUAUCCUUUUCGUAUUUAUUAUAGUGAACUUGAAAAUCAGUUCAUUGUUAUAUUAUCUAGUUUCAUGCCAUUUUCAACAAGAAAAGUUUUUCUCCAACCAGGGGAACUUAAACCACAGCCACCUGGACAAUUAGCUAGUUUGUUACCAUGGUCUACCCAUGUAUAUAAGGGUCCUUCACAGAACAUAUUACUUUUUUUGGACAGCUUUAAGUACCCAGUGUAUUUCAAUAUGCUUCUAGGUUAUCAAUGAAACAAUGUUCAUGAUAUUUGUUGGUAAGAUGUUGUCUAUAGAUAAAAAUUAAUAAAUUUGUGCAUAUGUAGAGCAGUUUUUGGAUUGAUUUUACAAAUAGCCUUCUUAUUUAAACAUCAACAAAUUUGUAAUUCAUGUUUGUAAUGUAUAUAUAUUUUUAGAUAUGGUGUAAAUAAUCUUUAGUAAUUAUGCCAAGCC